GAUGAACGCUGGCGGCGUGCCUAAUACAUGCCAGUCGAGCGAACAGACGAGGAGCUUGCUCCUCUGACGUUAGCGGCGGACGGGUGAGUAACACGUGGAUAACCUACCUAUAAGACUGGGAUAACUUCGGGAAACCGGAGCUAAUACCGGAUAAUAUAUUGAACCGCAUGGUUCAAUAGUGAAAGACGGUUUUGCUGUCACUUAUAGAUGGAUCCGCGCCGCAUUAGCUAGUUGGUAAGGUAACGGCUUACCAAGGCGACGAUGCGUAGCCGACCUGAGAGGGUGAUCGGCCACACUGGAACUGAGACACGGUCCAGACUCCUACGGGAGGCAGCAGUAGGGAAUCUUCCGCAAUGGGCGAAAGCCUGACGGAGCAACGCCGCGUGAGUGAUGAAGGUCUUCGGAUCGUAAAACUCUGUUAUUAGGGAAGAACAAAUGUGUAAGUAACGAUGCACGUCUUGACGGUACCUAAGCAGAAAGCCACGGCUAACUACGU
rnacentral:rRNA from 1 species